GAUGAACGCUGGCGGCGUGCCUAAUACAUGCAAGUCGAGCGAACGGACGAGAAGCUUGCUUCUCUGAUGUUAGCGGCGGACGGGUGAGUAACACGUGGAUAACCUACCUAUAAGACUGGGAUAACUUCGGGAAACCGGAGCUAAUACCGGAUAAUAUUUUGAACCGCAUGGUUCAAAAGUGAAAGACGGUCUUGCUGUCACUUAUAGAUGGAUCCGCGCUGCAUUAGCUAGUUGGUAAGGUAACGGCUUACCAAGGCAACGAUGCAUAGCCGACCUGAGAGGGUGAUCGGCCACACUGGAACUGAGACACGGUCCAGACUCCUACGGGAGGCAGCAGUAGGGAAUCUUCCGCAAUGGGCGAAAGCCUGACGGAGCAACGCCGCGUGAGUGAUGAAGGUCUUCGGAUCGUAAAACUCUGUUAUUAGGGAAGAACAUAUGUGUAAGUAACUGUGCACAUCUUGACGGUACCUAAUCAGAAAGCCACGGCUAACUACGUGCCAGCAGCCGCGGUAAUACGUAGGUGGCAAGCGUUAUCCGGAAUUAUUGGGCGUAAAGCGCGCGUAGGCGGUUUUUUAAGUCUGAUGUGAAAGCCCACGGCUCAACCGUGGAGGGUCAUUGGAAACUGGAAAACUUGAGUGCAGAAGAGGAAAGUGGAAUUCCAUGUGUAGCGGUGAAAUGCGCAGAGAUAUGGAGGAACACCAGUGGCGAAGGCGACUUUCUGGUCUGUAACUGACGCUGAUGUGCGAAAGCGUGGGGAUCAAACAGGAUUAGAUACCCUGGUAGUCCACGCCGUAAACGAUGAGUGCUAAGUGUUAGGGGGUUUCCGCCCCUUAGUGCUGCAGCUAACGCAUUAAGCACUCCGCCUGGGGAGUACGACCGCAAGGUUGAAACUCAAAGGAAUUGACGGGGACCCGCACAAGCGGUGGAGCAUGUGGUUUAAUUCGAAGCAACGCGAAGAACCUUACCAAAUCUUGACAUCCUUUGACAACUCUAGAGAUAGAGCUUUCCCCUUCGGGGGACAAAGUGACAGGUGGUGCAUGGUUGUCGUCAGCUCGUGUCGUGAGAUGUUGGGUUAAGUCCCGCAACGAGCGCAACCCUUAAGCUUAGUUGCCAUCAUUAAGUUGGGCACUCUAAGUUGACUGCCGGUGACAAACCGGAGGAAGGUGGGGAUGACGUCAAAUCAUCAUGCCCCUUAUGAUUUGGGCUACACACGUGCUACAAUGGACAAUACAAAGGGCAGCGAAACCGUGAGGUCAAGCAAAUCCCAUAAAGUUGUUCUCAGUUCGGAUUGUAGUCUGCAACUCGACUACAUGAAGCUGGAAUCGCUAGUAAUCGUAGAUCAGCAUGCUCCGGUGAAAACGUUCCCGGGUCU
rnacentral:rRNA from 1 species